CUUGUACUCCCUCCGUCCCAAAAUUCUUGUCUUAGAUUUGUCUAAAUACAGAUGUAUCUAGUUACGUUUAGUAUUAGAUACAUCCAUAUCUAGAUGAAUCUAAGACAAUAAUUUUGGGAUGGAGGGAGUAUAUU
rnacentral:pre_miRNA from 1 species